rnacentral:rRNA from 1 species
UAUCUCUGUAGAGUCUGCAUAUCAAUAAGCGGAGGAAAAGGAAACUAACAAGGAUUCCCCUAGUAACGGCGAGUGAAGCGGGAAGAGCUCAAAUUUGAAAUCUUCAAGGUUUGACCUUGACGAAUUGUAGUUUAAAGAAGUGUUUUCGGUUAGAGGAGUAGUAAAAGUUCUUUGGAAUAGGACAUCAUAGAGGGUGAGAAUCCCGUAUUUGACUAUUCUUUCUAGCUUUGUGAUACACUUUCAAAGAGUCGGAUUGUUUGGGAAUGCAGUCCAAAAUGGGUGGUAAAUUUCAUCUAAAGCUAAAUAUUGGCGAGAGACCGAUAGCGAACAAGUACCGUGAGGGAAAGAUGAAAAGAACUUUGAAAAGAGAGUUAAACAGUACGUGAAAUUGUCAAAAGGGAAGCGUUUGACACCAGUGUUGUUUUUCCGAAAAUCAAUUAAAAAUUGAUUCAUGCCAGGUUGUAUUGACCUUAUCAGCUUGCAAUUUGGUUUUGGGUCUCUUUUUGAUGCACCUUUCGGUUAACAAGUCAACAUCAAUUUCCUUUGCUGUAAAAAGGUAAGAGGAAGGUGGCUUCAAUUUCGGUUGAAGUGUUUAUAGCCUUUUAUCUCUGCAGUCGGGGAGAUUGAGGUCUGCAGCGUAGAUCCUUCGGGGCUAGAUACAUUUAUGCUAAGUUAUAGCUUUUCAUAGACAACUUGUUGACUAUGUUUAGUCAUGUAGCUUACUCGUAAGUGCUAUUUUACCUACGCUUAGGAUGUUGAAGACUCUACAGAGAUA